UUAGCGGCGCGGGCCCUGCCCCCACAGCGGCGAGCGAGGGUUGCCGCCGCCGCCCAGACUCCGGCUCGCUCGGUGCGUCCGCCGGGCGGCGCCGCGCGCAGAGGUGGCUCAGGCACCGUGGCCCGCGCUACACAGCGGCAGCUCCGCACCCGACUCCUCAGAGCCGUGGGGAGCCAGUUCCCCCGCCCCCUGCGGUGCGCUGAUUGCUGGGCCCGGGCAGGUGCGGGAGCUGCAGUCUCCAGCCCCGGGUGCCCGGACGGCUCGUCACAACGAUCGCUUGUAAGGACGAACGGCUGCUCCGCGUUUCUGCCCUGAAGCGCUGUUACUGCCCGGAAGAGAAGGAGGCUCCCCACAAGCCCCACACCGCCUUGCUUGUUGAUUGGUCGGGAGCAGGAUUCCCAGCAAGCCACUUUCAGCUCCCCUUGUUGGUUUUACUUCACCAAGGGCGUCUCGACGCUACAAACUUAAGUCCACCUACAGCCACUGUAGUAAAUGCGGUCCUGUCCGCACUACCCUCCUUCUGUCCCUGCUGCCCGUCCUUGCCAGGAGUGCUUUCACGGACUUAAAAAGGGUAGUGUGGAGGCAACAGCCUGGCUUGGAGUGGGGAGCCAGGAGCAGCAACGCUCUAGCUGGAGGCCCCAGUCACCUCAGGGUGACACCAGAGCUGUGAGCCUGUUUGGUUUUUUUGGUCAAUUUCAUGGCUCCCUGCUGGAGUCAUGAAAUUCACAAGAAUGACAGGGAACAGCUGAGGUAAGUAACCCUUAGUAUACAUGGACAUUGCCUUGUCCUAAUUACACCAACAUAAGCCCUAUGCCUCUUGUGGAGGUGGAGUUACUUUGUCAUUUUGUUAGUGGAGUAGGGCACUUACAUCAGGGGGAGCACAACCUAACUAGUAUAGACCAAACCUGAGAUUGGAGCUUGUGUCCACACUAGUCUGGAAAUUGCCAACCUUAGCUCUUGUGUAGACUGGCCACACUGUGUUUUAACUCUCCUCUUGUCAGCUACACAGAGGCCUGUUCUACACUACAAAGUUAGGUCGAUUCAAGGCAGCUUACGUCAAUCUAGUUGCGCAUGUACACUUAAAUUGGUCUCCCAACCACAUAAGUGCCCCCUUACUCCGACAUAGUAACACCAUCUCCCCAAGCAGCUUAAAGCCACAAUCAAUGUACUCAGGUGAAUGCAAUGCAAGCAUAGAACCUGUGUUACUUAUUUUGACCCUAACUGUCCUCUAGCAGCUGUCCUACAGUGCCUCACAUGGACUGCUCUGGUCAUCAAUGUGAAUUCCAUUGCUCAGGGGUCAUGGAGACCAGAAUUCCCCCUGCCUCUUUAAGGCCCCACAAAUUUUUGAAACUCCUUUUUCCUGAUUGCCCAACUUGGCAAACACACCUAUCAGCUCUCCAUUGUUGAGUGCAACUACCCAGCUGAUUAUGCUGGCUCCAUGCUCUAGCACAUUCAUGUCUGGAGUAGACAGGUGAUACUGGAUUUUCUGGUCAUAUGGGGAGAGGAGGCUAUGAAGGCACAGCUCCAAACCAGCCUAGAAAUAUCAACAUCUAUGAGUGGAUUGUUCAGCAGAUGCAGGAGAAGGGGUACAACAGGGACUAGCAGCAGUGUCGCCAAGGAGCUGCAGCAGGCAUACCAGAAGGCCAGGGAGGACAACGAAUGGAUGUGAUACUAAGCUGCAGACCUGCAACUUUUACUACGUGUGUCAUGCUGCAUGCUAUACUCAACAGAGACACCGCCCCCAACCCCCACAGCAGCAUGGAUACCUGCAAGGAGCCUGAGUCACAGACACCUGCUGUGAACACGGAGGAGGAGGAGGUGGUAGUGGUUGAGGAGGAGGAUAAUGGGCGACAGGUGCCCAGGGGAUCCAGGUACACAGCAAGCCAGGACCUGUUUUUGACCCCACUGCAGUCUAGUCAGUUCACCAGUCGAGCCCAAUGUAAGGGAAGGCAGCUGCCAUUGCCUAGCCUUUAGGGUUCCCCCUUCACACCCAACACCCGAGUCAGAUAAGGAGGAGAAAGAAGAGGACUUGGGAUGACAAGUUCAGUGAGAUCCGAAAGCCAGUGCAGCGUUGGACCAUGAGCACAUCAAGGGAUGAACAUUGCAGAAUGAACAUUGUAGGCAGCUUGGAGAAGGAAAGAGUGGAGAGGAGAAAGGCUCAAGAGUCCCAGCAAGAAAAGGAGGGAGAUGCACCGAGACAUAGUGAGGCUUCUCAGGCAGCAAACACGGAUGCUAUAGAUCCUGGGCUUGCUUCCCUCUGCAGCCCAUUGAGAACUCAAUAUCAGGACCUCCCCAAAUCCCCCCCCCACACACACACACACACAUACAUAUAUUUUGUGGGGCUAUUGUUGCACUACCCCUAACCGUCCACCCCAGAGGAAAUUAAAGACAAACAGAGCUUCAGGUACACUAACUGUGGCUUUCACAGGUUAGUGUAUGUGUAGCUGAAAUAGAUAUGAAUGUUUUCCCCUUCAUAAUUUCUGUUUUCUUAAUAAAAUUUACAAAUUACAUUUUUUA